CCAUUGAGCAGAGUAUAUGAUUUGAGGUGGAUGGACAAUACAAGUUAAACUAGAACUUGUAGUAUAUGAUUUGAAUAUUUUCCCGUGCUUCACUAUUUGUGAAUGACUUAUAUAUGGUUUGCUUUGACGUAGGCAAUGAUUCUUCAUGCUUCCAGAUUAGUUGCUCUAUAGAAUUUGAAUAUUUCAGCUUAUUCCUAGAUAUUCGUACAGUAGCAAAAGUUCAAGUAUGGAUCUUUAUUAUAUUCCAUCAUAUUAUUCCAUUUUCAGAUAUCUUGAACUAACAAGAUUCUUAUUUCAGGUGUUAGGUUCUAAUUAUCUUAGUGUGUUACUUGAGGCUAUUGAUAUAAGGUAACAAAAUUUCUUUUCCAAGAUGGUGUGCCUAAUAAUGUUGUUGAUGAUAGAGAUUUACAUACUAUUCUCAACUAUUAAUUAUACUUCUUGUGUUGAAGCUUUUAAGCUGAAUAUGAGUAAUAAACUGCUGAGCACAAAAUGCUUUGGAAUAUUUUUUAAUGUAAAAUUGUAAAUUAGCUUGCCGUUUGAUUCAUCUAAUCUUUUUAAUACAUUUUUGUUACUUCUAAUUGGGUUGAUCUUUCUUUUCCGGGCACCAAAAUUAACAAUAUAAUUGAAUUAUGUGUUUCUUAAUUUUUCAUAUAUUCCUGACAUUAGGAUAUAAUAUUAUAAUCUUUAAUUACCUAAUUUAUUUAUUUUGAAAUGAAUUCAAUUUAAUUCACUUCAAACUUGUUGUUUCAAAUGGGCUUGCAGCAGGUUAAUGAAUUUGUUCUCCUUCAUGGUCCUUUAUGGCUAACAAAGCUAAAGAAGAGCCUAACACUGCACCUUCUUUUGAUCGGUGGCUACAGUUUGUUUCUAUUAUAAUUAUAAUUUGUUCUUGUUGGUCUUGUUGUAAGUUUGAAUUAAAUUUGUUCUUUCUUAAGUUAUGGCUACAGUUUGUUUCUAUUAUAAUUAUAAUUUGAUCCUUGUUUUUGGUACAUUUUUAUUAUUAUUUAUCUUGAACAUAACAUUAGGUAUUUGAUUUUGAUGUCUUUUGCAUACUAGUGGAUCAUUAUAUGGUGCAUUAAUUGGUUCUGUUUUGGCCUUCAAUGUUGCUGACUUCCUAGGUAGAAGAAGGGAGCUGAUUUCAGCGGCAUUGUUAUAUCUUGUCGGAGCACUCGUAACAGCACUAGCUCCAAAUCUUCCUAUAUUGGUGAUAGGGAGAUUUGUUUAU